GACGAACGCUGGCGGCGCGCUUAACACAUGCAAGUCGAACGGAAAGGCCUGCUUUCCCUUGUGGAUUGCGGGUACUCGAGUGGCGAACGGGUGAGUAACACGUGAGUGAUCUGCCCCCAACUUGGGUAUAAGCCUGGGAAACUGGGUCUAAUUCCCGAUAGGACUGCAGGGUGGUGCCUGUGGUGGAAAACGAUUUUCUAGUGGUUGGGGAUGAGCUCGCGGCCUAUCAGCUUGUUGGUGGGGUAAUGGCCUACCAAGGCGGCGACGGGUAGCCGGCCUGAGAGGGUGGACGGCCACAUUGGGACUGAGAUACGGGCCAGACUCCUACGGGAGGCAGCAGUGGGGAAUAUUGCACGAGGGGCGGAAGCCUGAUGCAGCGACGCCGCGUGGGGGAUGACGGCCUUCGGGUUGUAAACUCCUUUCGACCGCGAGGAAGCCACCUGGUUGGAAGGGUGGUGACGGUAGUGGUAGAAGAAGCACCGGCUAACUACGUG
rnacentral:rRNA from 1 species